AUGGUGUCAUUUGACAUUUAUUAAUCUCACUACUUUUAUAAUAGCAUUG
rnacentral:antisense_RNA from 1 species